ensembl:snRNA U6 U6 spliceosomal RNA
GUGCUUGCUUUGGCAGCACAUACACUAAAAUUGGAACGAUACAGAGAAGAUUAGCAUGGCCUCUGUGCAAGGAUGAUACACAAAUUCGUGAUGCAUUCCAUAUUUUA